rnacentral:tRNA from 2 species
CGCGGGGUGGAGCAGUUCGGUAGCUCGUCGGGCUCAUAACCCGAAGGUCGGAGGUUCAAAUCCUCCUCCCGCAACCA